rnacentral:rRNA from 1 species
GGAGGAAUCUUGCGCAAUGGGGGAAACCCUGACGCAGCAACGCCGCGUGAGUGAGGAAGGCCUUCGGGUCGUAAAGCUCUGUCAGAUGGGAAGAAAUGGGUGGGGCUAAUAUCGCCCAUCCUUGACGGUACCAUCAGAGGAAGCACCGGCUAACUCCGUGCCAGCAGCCGCGGUAAUACGGGGGUGCGAGCGUUGUUCGGAAUCAUUGGGCGUAAAGCGCGCGCAGGCGGCUUGGUGAGUCAGAUGUGAAAGCCCUGGGCUUAACCCAGGAAGUGCAUUUGAUACUGCCUCGCUAGAGUACGGGAGAGGAAAGUGGAAUUCCUGGUGUAGAGGUGAAAUUCGUAGAUAUCAGGAGGAACACCGGUGGCGAAGGCGACUUUACUGGCCCGAUACUGACGCU